ACAAAAUUUAUAUUUAUUAUGAGAGUAUUAUUUCCGGGAUUGAUAAUUACGUGUAUAUCUUGAUCGAAUGAAUUUAUUUCGUUCACAUGAAAAGGUUUAGCUCUAUUAGGUUUAGCGUUAAAUAUAGAUUUAGUGCUAAAAAUAUAUACUUCAGAAGUAGGGCUUUCGAUAUUGUGAUAUAAGACGUGAUAUAAGACUGAUGAGAAUAUUUUUCUGUUUUCUUUUUCUCAACCACCUGUUCCUAGUUUAUUUUUAAGCGAUGUUUGUAGUUUAUGUUUUGGAAUGAAAAAAGAUAGAGGUGAAAAUUGGAACGGCAAUUACAUUAAAUUAAGUGAUUUGCUAAGCAGUUUUCUAUUUGAGAAAUAAUCACGUAGAUCUGGGAAUAGCAACAAACUAUAUAGUACACGUUUUAUUAUUGUUUAUGCAAGUAAUACGAAAGAUACUAAAAAAAGAACCAAGCGUGUAAUAAAAAUAAAACGUGGUUACACGCUUGGCUUAAGUGAAAUAAGACAUCCUUUGUUAAGGCCCGACCGUCAUUUUUUCAUCGAACAUAUGGACAAUGAAAUUUUCAGAGCUAAGAAAGAAAAAAAGAAGAGAGGUGAAAAAAAGACGAAGAUGGACGUUUUGUUGCCACCUUGUAGGGAUAAGCGUGACAAAUUAUAUUGGAUUUUCACAUAUAUUCAAAUAUUGGCGCGAAGUUUAUCGAGGAUUAUGCUGUACGCAUGCGUGACGCGACGCCAUAUUCGUACAAAGGACAUCAGCUCGACAUGCCUUCACAUCGUCCUUGUUGAUUUUAGGUUAUGAUUUUAGGUUUUUUCUAACAUAUACUCUCUUUAUAUAUACCAAUUGAUAAUUAAACAUGCGAUCUUUAAGAGGCCGCGAUCGCAUAUUUAGACAUUAUCGCGUUUAAAAGAUAUUCAGGAAAAUGAAAUCGAUUUGCUGAGCAGUUUUCUAAUUUAGAAAAAAAUCACGUAGACGUUAUGUUUGCUUACAUUACAUUCUGCAAAGCGUCGUAUAGCUCUUAAGACGCAUUGGACUUGGAAUAAUAUUCUCUCAGAGUGCAUGGAUCGUUUAAUGUCAAUAAAAAAUACCUUUUGAAGGACUAUGCGAGUUGCCACGUCAGUUUACUAUCGUAUACUCCGAGGACUAAACGUUGAAAUUUAUAUUUUCUGCACCGCUACAUUUAAUCAUCGUAUAGAUACGAUCAUUUUUUAAUACUCCAAACAAUGUACAAUGUAGACGAAAUGCGAUAAUGCAAUUCUCAAGAAUAGUACAUUCCCUUGAAGAUCGCGUAACUCUUAAGUUAAGCGUAAGUUAAACGUAAUAUAAUUUUUUUUCAGCUUGCAUCGAUUGUUUAAUGUCAACAAGAAUGACCAUUCGAAGGACUAUGCAAAUUAUUAUGUAAUGCGCGAAAAAUUAAAAAUAAUUUUAAUUCAAAAUUACGAAAAAAAAUUUAAAUAACAUACUUUCGAUAAUUUUAUAAUUAUUUAAAUAAUGUAUAAUGAAUAUGGGAUACAAUGGAUCACUAUUUAAACCGUGCGUCGAUCAUUUAAUGCCAACAAAAAGAAGGACCAUCGGAAGGACAAUGCGAGUUUCUACGUCAGUCUGUUUUUGUACUCCGAGGAAUAAAAGUCGAAAUACACUCUCCGUACGGCUACAUUUAAUCAUCUUACAGAUACGACUAUUAUCUAAUUAUAUAAACAGUGUACAAUGUACGCAAAAUGCGAUAAUGCAAUAUUUAAGCAACAAUAUAUUCCGUUAAAGAUCGUAUAACUCUUAAGCUCCGUCCAUUAUUGGAGCCGAUGUAGAAUAAAGUAAUAUUUAAGUAGUAA